AUGCUCUCUUUGGCAGCACAUAUACUAAAAUUGGAAUGAUACAGAGAUUAGCAUGGUCCCUGCACAAGGAUGACAUGAAAAUUUGUGAAGUGUUCCAUGUUUUU